UACGUAGGGGGCGAGCGUUGUCCGGAUUUAUUGGGCGUAAAGAGCUCGUAGGCGGCUUGGCAAGUCGGGUGUGAAACCUCCAGCUCAACCUGGAGACGCCACUCGAUACUGCCAUGGCUAGAGUCCGGUAGGGGACCACGGAAUUCCUGGUGUAGCGGUGAAAUGCGCAGAUAUCAGGAGGAACACCGGUGGCGAAGGCGGCAUCCUGGACCAACACUGACGCUGAGUGAGCGAAAGCCAGGGGAGCAAACGGG
rnacentral:rRNA from 1 species